rnacentral:ribozyme from 1 species
ACUCGACUAAGCGAGUAUAAAAAGAACUUAAGCUUAGUGCGUCUCCUGGAUUCACCAGGGGGGUGAAU